rnacentral:lncRNA from 1 species
CCGCCAUGCGUGUCAAGUGAGGCAGAUCCACUGGCCUGAGGCGUCUGUCUGUCCCUCUCCUCCUGUAGCCAAGCUGGGCGAGGAGCAGGUUCUCAG